rnacentral:misc_RNA from 1 species
AAACGCGAUAGUUAAUGUGAAUUGCAGAAUUCAGUGAAUCAUCGAGUCUUUGAACGCACAUUGCGCCCAUAGGUAUUCCUUUGGGCAUGUCUGUUUGAGCGUCAUUACAACCCUCAGCUAACCGCUGGUUUUGAACCUGAACGGGUGACACCGCGCCGGUUUUAAAGUUGUAAGCUCUGCUGGCCUCUCUGCCCAACCAGAACAUAGUAAGCACUACUUGUCCGGGUGAAGCUGAACGGUACGGCCUGAACAAAACCUACCCACUCUCAAGGUUUGACCUCAGAUCAGACAAGGAUACCCGCUGAACUUAAGC